rnacentral:rRNA from 1 species
UUGUUCUUUAAAUGGGGACUUGUAUCAACGGCACCACGAGGGUUAGACUGUCUCCUUUUUCAAAUCAGUGAAAUUAAUCUCCCCGUGAAGAAGCGGGGAUACUCAUAUAAGACGAGAAGACCCCAUGGAGCUUCAAACCCAACUACACCCCUAGCUCUUAUAGCCCCACAACCCCCCC